CCUACGGGUGGCAGCAGUGAGGAAUAUUGGUCAAUGGGCGCGAGCCUGAACCAGCCAAGUAGCGUGAAGGAUGACUGCCCUACGGGUUGUAAACUUCUUUUAUAAAGGAGUAAAGUGAGGCACGUGUGCCUUUUUGUAUGUACUUUAUGAAUUAGGAUCGGCUAACUCCGUGCCAGCAGCCGCGGUAAUACGGAGGAUCCGAGCGUUAUCCGGAUUUAUUGGGUUUAAAGGGAGCGUAGAUGGGUUGUUAAGUCAGUUGUGAAAGUGUGCGGCUCAACCGUAGAAUUGCAAGUGAUACUGGCAGUCUUGAGUGCAGAUGAGGUAGGCGGAAUUCGAGGUGUAGCGGUGAAAUGCGUAGAUAUCACGAAGAACUCCGAUUGCGAAGGCAGCUUACUAAUCUGCCACUGACAUUGAUGCGCGAAAGCGUGGGUAUCAAACAGGAUUAGAUACCCUUGUAGUC
rnacentral:rRNA from 1 species